CGGGGGGGGCAAGCGUUGUUCGGAAUUACUGGGCGUAAAGGGCUCGUAGGCGGCCAACUAAGUCCGACGUGAAAUCCCCAGGCUUAACCUGGGAACUGCGUCGGAUACUGGAUGGCUUGAAUUCGGGAGAGGGAUGCAGAAUUCCAGGUGUAGCGGUGAAAUGCGUAGAUAUCUGGAGGAAUACCGGUGGCGAAGGCGGCAUCCUGGACCGACAUUGACGCUGAGUGAGCGAAAGCUAGGGGAGCAAACGGGAUUAGAUACCCCGGUAGUCCUAGCCCUAAACGAUGAAUGCUUGGUGUGGCGGGUAUCGAUCCCUGCCGUGCCGAAGCUAUCGCAUUAAGCAUUCCGCCUGGGGAGUACGGUCGCAAGGCUG
rnacentral:rRNA from 1 species